AAACUUGAGAGUUUGAUCAUGGCUCAGAACGUACGCUGGCGGCACGCCUAACACAUGCAAGUCGAACGAAGUAGCAAUACUUAGUGGCAGACGGGUGAGUAACAUGUAGGUAUCUGCCCUUUGGCCUGGAAUAACACGAGGAAACUUGUGCUAAUACCGGAUAAGUCUUUACGGAGAAAGCUUUAUGCACCAUUGGAUGAGCCUGCACUUGAUUAGUUUGUUGGUGGGGUAAUGGCCUACCAAGACUGUGAUCAAUAGCUGAUUUGAGAGGAUGAUCAGCCACAUUGGGACUGAGACACGGCCCAAACUCCUACGGGAGGCAGCAGUGGGGAAUCUUGCACAAUGGAGGAAACUCUGAUGCAGCGAUGCCGCGUGAGUGAAGAAGGCCCUUGGGUUGUAAAGCUCUUUCGUCGGGGAAGAAAAUGACUGUACCCGAAUAAGAAGGUCCGGCUAACUUCGUGCCAGCAGCCGCGGUAAUACGAAGGGACCUAGCGUAGUUCGGAAUUACUGGGCUUAAAGAGUUCGUAGGUGGUUGAAAAAGUUAGUGGUGAAAUCCCAGAGCUUAACUCUGGAACUGCCAUUAAAACUUUUCAGCUAGAGUAUGAUAGAGGAAAGCAGAAUUUCUAGUGUAGAGGUGAAAUUCGUAGAUAUUAGAAAGAAUACCAAUUGCGAAGGCAGCUUUCUGGAUCAUUACUGACACUGAGGAACGAAAGCAUGGGUAGCGAAGAGGAUUAGAUACCCUCGUAGUCCAUGCCGUAAACGAUGUGUGUUAGACGUUGGAAAUUUAUUUUCAGUGUCGCAGGGAAACCGAUAAACACACCGCCUGGGGAGUACGACCGCAAGGUUAAAACUCAAAUGAAUUGACGGGGACCCGCACAAGUAGUGGAGCAUGUGGUUUAAUUCGAAGAUACGCGCAGAACCUUACCAACACUUGACAUGUUCGUCGCGACUUUAAGAGAUUAAAGUUUUCGGUUCGGCCGGACGAAACACAGGUGCUGCAUGGCUGUCGUCAGCUCGUGUCGUGAGAUGUUGGGUUAAGUCCCGCAACGAGCGCAACCCUCACUUUUAGUUGCCAUCAUUAAGUUGGGCACUCUGAAAGAACUGCCAGUGAUAAGCUGGAGGAAGGUGGGGAUGACGUCAAGUCCUCAUGGCCCUUACGUGUUGGGCUACACACGUGCUACAAUGGUAUCUACAACAGGAAGCAAGACUGCGAAGUUAAGCAAAUCCCUAAAAGAUACCUCAGUUCGGAUUGCACUCUGCAACUCGAGUGCAUGAAGCUGGAAUUACUAGUAAUCGUGGAUCAGCGUGCCACGGUGAAUGCGUUCCCGGGUCUUGUACACACCGCCCGUCACACCAUGGGAGUUGGUUCUACCUUAAGGCAAGGUUUCAAACCCUUGACCACGGUAUAGUCAGCGACUGGGGUGAAGUCGUAACAAGGUAGCCGUAGGGGAACCUGCGGCUGGAUUACCUCCUUU
rnacentral:rRNA from 1 species